UACGGGGGGAGCAAGCGUUGUUCGGAUUUACUGGGCGUAAAGGGCGCGUAGGCGGCCAGCACAAGUCAGUUGUGAAAUCUCCGGGCUUAACUCGGAAAGGUCAACUGAUACUGUGCGGCUAGAGUGCAGAAGGGGCAACUGGAAUUCCGGGUGUAGUGGUGAAAUGCGUAGAGAUCCGGAGGAACCCCAGAGGCGAAGGCGACGUCCUGGCUCGCAUCUGACGCUCAGACACGACAGCAUGGGGAGCGAACGGG
rnacentral:rRNA from 1 species